rnacentral:tRNA from 1 species
CUUGAUAUAGCCAAAUGGGAAGGCAUUACUUUUUGAUAGUAUGUAUUGGGGUUCGAGUCCCUCUAUCAAGA